GACGAACCGUGCAAACGUUGUUCGGAAUCACUGGGCUUAAAGGGCGCGUAGGCGGUCGAUCACGUCCGGGGUGAAAUCUUUCGGCUUAACCGGAAAAGGGCCUUGGAUACGGAUCGGCUGGAGGGAGGUAGGGGCAGGUGGAACUUCCAGUGGAGCGGUGAAAUGCGUUGAUAUUGGAAGGAACGCCGGUGGCGAAAGCGACCUGCUGGACCUUUUCUGACGCUGAGGCACGAAAGCUAGGGUAGCGAACGGG
rnacentral:rRNA from 1 species